UCCGUUGGUGAACCAGCGGAGGGAUCAUUACCGAGUUUACAACUCCCAAACCCCUGUGAACAUACCUAUACGUUGCCUCGGCGGAUCAGCCCGCGCCCUGUAAAAAGGGACGGCCCGCCCGAGGACCCUAAACUCUGUUUUUAGUGGAACUUCUGAGUAAAACAAACAAAUAAAUCAAAACUUUCAACAACGGAUCUCUUGGUUCUGGCAUCGAUGAAGAACGCAGCAAAGUGCGAUAAGUAAUGUGAAUUGCAGAAUUCAGUGAAUCAUCGAAUCUUUGAACGCACAUUGCGCCCGCCAGUAUUCUGGCGGGCAUGCCUGUUCGAGCGUCAUUUCAACCCUCAAGCUCAGCUUGGUGUUGGGACUCGCGGUAACCCGCGUUCCCCAAAUCGAUUGGCGGUCACGUCGAGCUUCCAUAGCGUAGUAAUCAUACACCUCGUUACUGGUAAUCGUCGCGGCCACGCCGUAAAACCCCAACUUCUGAAUGUUGACCUCGGAUCAGGUAGGAAUACCCGCUGAACUUAAGCAUA
rnacentral:rRNA from 1 species